rnacentral:rRNA from 1 species
CCUACGGUGUGCAGCAGUGGGGAAUAUUGGACAAUGGGCGAAAGCCUGAUCCAGCCAUGCCGCGUGUGUGAAGAAGGCCUUCGGGUUGUAAAGCACUUUCAGUGGGGAAGAAAGCCUUGGGGCUAAUACCCUCGAGGAAGGACAUCACCCACAGAAGAAGCACCGGCUAACUCCGUGCCAGCAGCCGCGGUAAUACGGAGGGUGCGGGCGUUAAUCGGAAUUACUGGGCGUAAAGCGCGCGUAGGCGGUCUGAUAAGCCGGUUGUGAAAGCCCCGGGCUCAACCUGGGAACGGCAUCCGGAACUGUCAGGCUAGAGUGCAGGAGAGGAAGGUAGAAUUCCCGGUGUAGCGGUGAAAUGCGUAGAGAUCGGGAGGAAUACCAGUGGCGAAGGCGGCCUUCUGGACUGACACUGACGCUGAGGUGCGAAAGCGUGGGUAGCAAACAGGAUUAGAUACCCGGGUAGUC